ensembl:snRNA U6 U6 spliceosomal RNA
GUGCUCUCUUCAGUAGCACAUGUACUAAAACUGCAAUGAUGCAGAGAUUAACAUGGCCCCUGUGCAGAGAUGACAUGCAAAUUCAUGUGGCAUUCCAUAUUUUU